rnacentral:lncRNA from 1 species
AUGAUUCCUUUUAAUUGUCAUUUCGUGGUUUUGUCGGAUAAAGAAUUGUGGUGUUGUGCUCUAGAAAUAUAGUUGCUGUGGCAAGAUAGGAGUAUAUAGUAUUGGACGAGCAACCUAAUUUAGUUAAGAUGACGUAUGCGAUCAUCAUCACCAUCUUCAUCAGUAGCAGCAGCAGCAGCAGUAGAGACAGCAAUAGUGACAGCAGCAACGAUGGCUAGGUAACCUCCCAGAAAUAUGAAAGAAUAUCCAAAAUAAACUGGAGCGUACUAUGCACAGCAUAAAAUUAUUACACAAGCCAGCGUAUAUUGGACAAGUUUUUCAGCUCCAUUGGUUGUCUACAUGUUUUGCCUGUAACCAUAUGAAGUUAUGAUGUGCUUAAACUGGUACUCAGAGUGGACCGAACCACAGACAGAUCUUAUUUGUUUUCAACAAUGAGUGCAAGACAGUGCAAGAAUGAUCCAAACAGAUUCUGUUAUAUAUGUGGGGAAUUGACUUUUGCUAAAGAAAAGCGCAGUAUUACACGCCAUAUCAAGAAAAUAUUCAUGAAAGUAUCAUAUGAAGAUCUGAAAGCAAUUCUAACAAGCAUACAGUAUGAUGACCAUACCUGGCAUAUAUGUGCAGAUUUUAAGGUUGCGGCCAUGCUUACUGGCCUUCAGCUUAGCUAUACUAAAUUUUGCUGCAUCCUGUGCUUAUGGAAUUCCAGAGCAAGAGCUGAACAUUAUGUACGCAAGAUGAAACUGAGCAAAGAAAACACAACAUCAAGCACAAACCACUUGUGAAAAGUGAUAGAUUUUUUUUUACCACCUUUGCAUAUUAAACUUAGUUUGUUUAAGCAAUUUGCGAAAGCCUUGGACAAAGAAUCCUCCGCAUUUGCAUAUCUUGCAGAAAAGUUCCCUUCCCUGAGUAAAGCUAAAAUUAAAGAAGGUUUCUUCAUAGGUCCCCAAAUUCGAAAAAUUGUACUUGAUGAAACCUUCAUCACACAUCUCAAAAGAAAAGAGAAGCUUGCCUUUGAGUCAUUGAAGAAAGUUUGCCAUAACUUCCUGGGCAACCAUCUUUCAGAAGACUAUUUGCAAGUUGUGAAUGAUCUGCUGAAUCAUUAUCAUGAUAUAGGAUGUAACAUGUCUGUAAAAGUUCAUGUGCUUCACUCUCAUUUGGAAUUUUUUGCGGAAAAUCUUGGUGAUGUGAGUGAUGAACAUGGCGAAAGAUUCCAUCAGGAUAUUUCCGUGAUGGAGCGACGGUUCAAAGGAAAAUGGAACCCUGGCAUGUUGGCAGACUACUGCUGGAGUAUAAAAAAAGAUCACACUCUGCACAAGAGGCUUAGAAGGACAAAAGUUGUUUAAAUUAACAGGUGUGUUUUUAAUUCAUAACCAAUAUAUGUUUUGUUAUACCAACCAAA